rnacentral:rRNA from 1 species
GACGAACGCUGGCGGCGUGCUUAACACAUGCAAGUCGAACGGUGAACCUCUUCGGAGGGGAUCAGUGGCGAACGGGUGAGUAACACGUGGGCAACCUGCCCCCGGCUCUGGGAUAACUCCAAGAAAUUGGGGCUAAUACCGGAUGUUCACCGCUUCCCGCAUGGGUGGUGGUGGAAAGGGUUUCCGGCUGGGGAUGGGCCCGCGGCCUAUCAGCUUGUUGGUGGGGUAGUGGCCUACCAAGGCGACGACGGGUAGCCGGCCUGAGAGGGUGACCGGCCACACUGGGACUGAGACACGGCCCAGACUCCUACGGGGGGCAGAAGUGGGGAAUAUUGCGCAAGGGGCGGAAGCCUGACGAAGCGACGCCGCGUGGGGGAUGGCGGCCUUCGGGUUGUAAACCUCUUUCAGCAGGGACGAAGCGCAAGUGACGGUACCUGCAGAAGAAGCACCGGCCAACUACGUG